UUUUAGAGUGUCUCCUACACACGUGUCAAUCCUCUAUUAAAGAUUAAAACAUGACCACACUGAUGGGACAACUGCGAACAUUUCUAGUAUGUUUUCUAAUAUAAAUUCCUCAAGUUUCUUCAACUAUAGGCAAGUGACGUUGCAGCCAGCUCAUAUUUUUUUUUUUUCCUUAUUUAAUAAAAGUCCGUACAGAAUUUUUUUAUAUAUAUAUGACAGAUCUAUAUGACAAAAGUAAAAAAAAAAAAAAAUCUAUACAAGAAACUAUACACGGGGUUAAUCUUUAAAGAAGACAAGAAGUGAAAUUUCAGGGAAUUCUUGUCACGAAUAAUUUAACGUUAUAAAACAUAUGAAUGAUGUACAAGAUUGGAGAGAGAGAGAAAGGGAUAGAAAUAAACUAAACUCAGGUCUCUUAUAUAUCAACGUGUCUUCACAUGAACAUGUUUUAUAUAUUUGUGUAUAAUUUUUGUCAGCGAACAGAGAAACGUUUAGAAAGUUGUAUAAUAGUAAUUAUAAAAUUAUAGUUGAUAACUGUUUUUAUUGACUUUUUUUUUUUUGACCUCAAUAAAUUGUUUCGAAAAGUUUUGUUUGUUUUCUCUCUGCUCCUCUGUGUUGUUCUUCAUCCACACUGAACAAAUCCGAUUCAAAGAGUCCUUACUGUCCAUGUAAUGAAAAGAACUUCAACACCUGACUAUGCCUCCAACUGAGAAUCUACUAUUUCUCAAUAUUUCAGGGAUCUGCCAAUUAAAAAUGCUUAUCAAUUGUUUCAGUAUUUGUUUUAUAUAUUUUUUCAGUACUUUUGAGUUGCUGUUGUUGCAAAAGUAUAGGUUUUAUACUAUAUUUAAUGAUUAGAACAUUGGGUCUUCAUUUCUGACUUGCUGUGUUUAAGCAUUUGCAAAUAAGAUGAGAAAGAUCUUAUAAAACCUUUUUUAUUUUCUAUUCAUGGCAGAAAUAAGCUUUCAUAGGUUCUACACGUGUAAGGGGGAAAACCAUAGAGAUGCACAAAUUCAGCACACAAUCUUACUCCUCUCCUCUAACAACUAUUCCUCUCCCUCACCCAGACAUUAUUUUUUUUCUCUCUCUGCUCUUGUGUUGUGUUGUUCUGCAUCUACACAGAACAAAUCUGAUUCAAAGAGUCCUAUUUUACUGUAUGUUCAUGUAAUGAAAAGAACUUCAACACCUGACUAUGCCUCCAACUGAAUCUGCUAAUUAAAAAUGCUCAUCAAUUGUUUCAAUAUUUGUUUGAUAUAUUUUUUUCAAUACUUUUGAGCUGCUGUUGUUGCAAAAGUAGAGGUUUUAUACUAUAUUUAAAGAUUGUACCAUUAGGUCUUCAUUUCUGACAUACUGUGUUUAAGCAUUUGCAAAUAAGAUGAGAAAGAUCCAUGAUUUUGGUAUUGGGUAACCUUGCAUGAAAAGAAAAUGUAAGCCUUUUAGAAACGUGUUAAUUGCCUGCAUUUUUUGUGAAAACGACAUGAAUUGUGUUAAUGGUAUGGUCACAACAGACAGAUGUUGUGCUAAUUGUGUUUAGAGUUUUCAAAAUUGCAUUCAGUUGCAUUUUGCAUGUUCUCAAUUUACCCCAAAGAAAUAGCUGCACAGAAAAUGGAAAUUUCAUAAUUGUUUACACAGCUAUCUCAAUUACAAAAACCAAUAAAUAAAAGGGGAAAAGAAAAACAACAAAAAAAAGAAUAAUGGGAAAAGGAAGAGGUAAGAGUGAGAGGUUUUUAGAGAGGAUAUGGAAGAGGUAGAAAGAGAUGAGGGGAAUGGAUGGUAUAGGAAGAGGAGAUGGAGCAAGAAGAGCUGAGGUUGUAGGAAGAGGAGAAGAUGGAGCAGUAGAGGGAGAAGAGAUGUUAGUGGAGGGCAAUAGUAUUAAAGAGCAAGAGAAAAAAAUAUAAGAAGACAUGGACAGAGGGGAAGGAGAGAGCAAGGUGUAAGAGGAGGGAGAAGAGGUAGAAGGACAGGGUACAGGCGGGUAUCAAAUUAAAUCCGGAUGGUGUUCCUUCCAGCAUAUUUUCCUCUUGGAGAUGGAAAGUAUAUCAUUGUGACCCUUACAAAUUCUUAAAAGCGAUGGAUCCAGCAUUCACGUUUUUUUUUUUUUUUUUUUUCCCACGAUGCAUGACUCGUGAAAAUCUAUGCUGUGAUGUUGAUGAAAUUCUUUGACCAGAUUUAAAUGAGAGGCAAGAUCUAUAAAGUUCAUUGAUUCAAUGAUUGCAGUACAUUCAUUUAUUUACUUAUUUAUUUUAUUCUAUUUAUUUUUGGCAGGGCAAAAAUUCAUUGUUAUACAACUAAAAUCAUCAUUAAAGUUUGAAGAACACGAUUAAAGAACACAAAAAACAUGUAGGCUUCUUUCAUUAAUGUAUUUGUGUACACUGUAAAAAAUAAAUGUUGGCUUAACUUAAAAAAGUAAGUUAACUGGCUGCCUUAAUAUUUUGAGUUCAUUGAAAUUAAAAAUUUGAGUUAAUACAAUAAAGGCGAUUGGCUUCAUCAACAGAAACUCAAAAUAUUAUGUUAUCUGAACCACAUUAAUUAUCUAAGUUGAUUUGACAAAAGAAAAAAUGUUGUGAUAAUAAGUCAUGAAAAUAAUUUUGUACAGUGUAUCUACAGCUGAAUUAGUUAUCAAAUCAACUACACUUGUAUAGUUUUGAUGUUAGUAUUUAUUUUUAAUAAAUGUAACAUCAAAACAUAGUUUUGAUGUUAGUAUUUAUUUUUGAUCAAUUCUAUACUAGAAUAAAAUGCAGUGCUUCAUUAUGCAGUCAAUAUUGAACUGUUUUGCCAACAUAAGAGUGUGUUUAGUUUGCUGUGUUAAUUGUUUUGAGAGCAGCAUUCAUUUGGAGAAAUGUGUCAAAUCGAUUGAGAAAAACUGUAAAAGCACACUAAAAUAAUGUUGACAUGGAGUGAAUACUGAUUGAGGUUUUUGUUAUUAGUGGUCGAGCAGCGAGCGGUGGCGAGAGAGAAUUAGUCAACUAGAAGUCUUUAUAGAAAGUAAACUGGAAAAUCAAUGGGUAUAUGGAUAGAUACACUGAAGCCCGCACAUUAGUUUAGCUACUUUGACAACCAAUAUGGACAUGUGACUGCAACACAGCCUGAGAUGAAGUCAACUGCAAAUAAAUGAAUAUACCAGAGGAUGAUUAAACAAGUCCAAAAAACAGCAUUACCAGCUUCACAAAUAACCAGUUUGACUUUAUUUAAUGUGUACGAAAGUUCCUAUUGAGAACUAACAGAGGUUUAGCUCUAUAGUUAAUGUUGAUGUUUUGUUGAAAAUUUCACUAUUGUGGUGAUUAGCCAUAGUAUUAGCAUUAGUAUUAGCUGGGCACUUGACCCUUGACAUUUUAGUGUUAACAGCUGUGAUUGCUGUAACGGUGUAUUGAGAAAACACAUUUGUUGUGGCAAAGGAAGCCAAGAUCAAAACAAGGUCAGGUGAUGGUGGUUUCUUAUUAAUGGUAACAUACAGUAAUCGUCAUGUGUUAUGUCGUUAAUUCACUUACAGUUUUUCUCAAUCGAUUUGACACAUUUCUCCAAAUAUAGUUGCUCUCAAAACAAUUAACACAACAAACUAAACACUCUUAUGUUGGCAAAACAGUUAAGUAUUGACUGCAUAAUGAAGCACUGCAUUUUAUUCUAGUAAUGCAUUUAUCAAAAAUAAAUACUAACAUCAAAAAUACAAGUGUGUUCUCUGUUGAUCUGAAUUCAGCUGUAGAUAUACAAAUACAUAGAUGAAAAUACAUGUUUUUCAUGUUCUUUAAAGUUAUUUAAUGACGAGUUUAGUGUUGGAACACAACAAUGAGUUUUCACCCAAAAAAAAAAAAAAAAAAAAAAAAAAAAAGUACAUAAAUACAUGCACUGCAAUCAUUGAAUCAAUGAACUUUAUAGAUCUUGCCUCUCAUUUACAUCUGGUCAAAGAAUUUCAUCAACAUCACAACAUAUAUUUUCACAAGUCAUGCAUCCAUCCUUGUGCCGCAGCUUCUCCACAGGCCUCUUCCAUCACUCGAAGAAGACUUACUUGGUAAGGAUUGCGAUCACAUACUUUCCAUCUCCAAGAGAAGAAUAUGCUGGAAGGAACACCAUCCUGAAAUGUGGGUGAUGCUCGAACCACUCUUGCACCAGUGCUGAAUGGUGAAAUUGAACAUUGUCCCACACAACUACACAAUUUCGCUGAAUUUGCAUUUUCUGUGUUGUGUGUAUUACUAACUCAGCAGAUAUUUAUUUAGGGCUAAUUGAGAACAUUACACAUGCAAUUGAGGAUUUAACAAAUAACAGUUUUGAUUGUUGUGUUUGGAAAAAUGGUGCACAAAUGAUUGUGGUUUUGGUAAAACCAAUAAAAAGAGCUGCAGUUGUUUUUUCCUUAUACAUUAAAGUUUUGGUUGGCUGUAUGAACUACUGUGAAAACAUUUAAGAAUUUUGUGCACAGUGUUUUGAGAAAAUGAUGCAUGUGUUUUGUAAUUUGCUUGAAAUAAAGGAAAAUUUACAGCUACA